rnacentral:rRNA from 1 species
CACGUAGGGGGCGAGCGUUGUCCGGAUUCAUUGGGCGUAAAGCGCGCGCAGGCGGCUCGGAAAGUCGGGUGUGAAAACUCGGGGCUCAACCCCGGGCGUGCAUCCGAUACUGCCGGGCUUGAGGCAGGUAGGGGAGAUCGGAAUUCCUGGUGUAGCGGUGAAAUGCGCAGAUAUCAGGAGGAACACCUGUGGCGAAAGCGGCUCACUGGACCACAACUGACGCUGAGGCGCGAAAGCUAGGGGAGCAAACAGG